rnacentral:rRNA from 1 species
UGGGGAAUAUUGGACAAUGGGGGCAACCCUGAUCCAGCCAUGCCGCGUGAGUGAUGAAGGCCUUCGGGUUGUAAAGCUCUUUUGGCGGGGACGAUGAUGACGGUACCCGCAGAAUAAGCCCCGGCUAACUUCGUGCCAGCAGCCGCGGUAAGACGAAGGGGGCUAGCGUUGUUCGGAAUUACUGGGCGUAAAGCGAGUGUAGGCGGUUGCCGUAGUCAGGUGUGAAAGCCUUGAGCUCAACUCAAGAAAUGCACUUGAUACUGGGUGACUAGAGGACCGGAGAGGAUAGUGGAAUUCCCAGUGUAGUGGUGAAAUGCGUAGAGAUGUGGAGGAAUACCGAUGGCGAAGGCAGCCCCCUGGGCCAAUACUGACGCUCAUGCACGAAAGCGUGGGGAGCAAACAGGAUUAGAUACCCUGGUAGUCCACGCCCUAAACGAUGUCAACUAGUUGUUGGGGGAAUUCAUUUCCUUAGUAACGUAGCUAACGCGUGAAGUUGACCGCCUGGGGAGUACGGUCGCAAGAUUAAAACUCAAAGGAAUUGACGGGGUCAUAGCUGUUUCCU